CAUUUCCGGCGGCAGCAUGGAUAUCCUGAAGCGGGAGAUCAGCCGUAAGCGGCAGCAGCUGGAGGAGAAGGAGCUUGUGGGGGGAAAUAAGAAAUAUUUCAAACGCAGUGAGUUAGCUAAAAAAGAGGAGGAGGCCUACUUUCAGAGAUGUGGCUACAAGGUACAGCAGCAAGAGGAGGAGGAGAAGCCACUGACUUCAUCGAAUCCAGUGCUGGAACUCGAACUGGCAGAAGAAAAGUUACCAAUGACCCUUUCCAGACAGGAGGUUAUCAGGAGGUUACGAGAGAGAGGUGAGCCGAUCAGACUGUUUGGAGAAACAGAUUAUGAUGCAUUUCAGCGUCUGAGGAAGAUAGAAAUUCUUGCACCUGAAGUGAACAAGGGCCUGAGAAACGACCUGAAGGCUGCUUUGGAUAAGAUUGACCAGCAGUAUCUGAACGAAAUUGUAGGAGGCCAAGAAGCAGGAGACGAUGACUCACAGAAUGACUUGAAAGUCCAUGAGGAGAAUACUACUAUUGAAGAACUAGAAGCUUUGGGAGAAUCCUUAGGACGGGGUGAUGAUCACUAUGAUAUGGACAUCAUAACGAAAUUUUUGAAGUUUCUUCUUGGAGUUUGGGCUAAGGAGCUGAAUGCCAGAGAAGACUACGUGAAGCGGGGAGUACAGGGGAAGCUGAACAGUGCCACUCAAAAGCAGACGGAAUCGUACCUGAGGCCACUCUUCAGAAAACUUCGGAAAAGGACACUUCCUGCCGACAUCAAAGAAUCAAUAACAGAUAUUAUUAAAUUCAUGCUGCAAAGAGAAUAUGUGAAGGCAAAUGAUGCCUAUCUUCAGAUGGCUAUUGGAAAUGCUCCCUGGCCUAUUGGUGUCACUAUGGUUGGCAUCCACGCUCGAACGGGUCGUGAAAAGAUUUUCUCCAAGCACGUAGCCCACGUUCUCAACGAUGAAACUCAAAGGAAGUAUAUUCAGGGGCUGAAGAGGCUCAUGACCAUUUGCCAGAAGCACUUCCCAACAGACCCAUCGAAAUGUGUGGAGUACAACGCUUUAUGAGGCUCUGCAGUGUCCAAGGCGUGACUCAUAUUUUGAUCUCCAAGACCCAGAAAGGAAUGGAGAGACAGAGUUUGUGCUUUACCACCAAGAGGAACCUAGGUUUCAAUAUAAACCUUCUGGGCUUGGGGGAAGUAAUCGUAUGGCUCUUGAGGCUUUCAAAUCCCAUUUUUAUACAUCUGGAGAAAAUUUCAGUCUGCUGGGCAUUGCAGAGAAAAUAAUUAGGACCUCCCGUGACCACAGACAGUAAUUCUUGCAGCCACAAAUCUUUACCGUUGUGCAUCUUGACUGGGAAUGGCGAAGAAACUCAUAGAAAUGAUGAUGUCUAAUUCUGCAUUAACAAUGAAAUAUUGAAACUUUGUUAGUGGUGCAGGUUGAAAGUCUUAGGCUGAAAUAAUGUGCUUUUUUUAAUUACAAGAACAGCAGUACCUCUACAACACUACUAACGGGUUCUUCUCUUAAGGAGGCCUUUCUAGAACCUACAGUGAAGCUCCAAACAAGCUGUUGAUCAUUGCAGCGGCUGCUAAUAACCGCCACUACCCAUAUUUGUGAGAAUGCCGCCCUCGCGUGCGUCUGGCCCCACAGAUCCUGCGGAGCCGACACAGAGCGCACUCCUCUGCCCCUGGAGAAGCCUCUUGUGUGGAGUCAGUGGAGAGGGGAGGCUCUGGUCCUGGCUGCUGGGGUUGGAUUCAGGCAGGUAUUUGAGUCUGGUAUCUCACUACCAUGAGGCAGCAGGUCAUCUGAUAGAUCUGGCACUCGUGAGCUGUGGACCUGUAACCGUUGAGCUGCCACAGCAGUAGAGCUGGUACGGUGUGAGCAGAGCCACUUCCUGAAGAAACGUGUCAAUAUUCAAGUGUAUUGGUUUGUCCGAGUCCUCACCUCGACUGGAAGCGCAGAGCAGGAACCAGUGCCCUCUUCUGAAGGAGUUACCUGUCUCCAUGGGUAUUUACAGUGUCCCGUGGCACAGUGAGACAUGGUGCUGGGGGAUUUGUGCUGGCAGUGAGCUCGGACGAGUAUCUCAAGGAACUUCAGGUUCUUCUGGAGACUCUCCGGAUUCUGAAGCGCCUCUUUGGACAUGGGAGUUUUUCAAUCUGGAAUGUCUGACCCCAGAGAAAAUGUCAAGAGCUUAAAUGGUUAAGAAGUACUAAAAAUGAGGCUGACAAGACCUAACCGGCACUUGGGGAGGGGCCUGCGGGGAAUACACAGGGAUUUGUGGGGAGAAGCUGGGCAGAUGUCAAGAGCACGGAAGAGUUUCAUUAACAGUGGUGUCUGGUGAUUUUUGUGCAGUGCUCUAUACAGGUAUUCUUCAGAGGCAUUAUUACAACAGGAAACAUUUAUAACACCGCAACUUUAUCCCUCUCCCCACCCAGAUGAUUUCCUGAGCUGUUUCUAAAUCUUCGUCCUGACCUUAGUUUUGAACUCUUUAAAUAAUUGAGGGACAAUAUUGUCCCUCAUCUAGAAGGGCUAUUAUUUCCCUGGAAAGUGCAGCAAGUGAGUAACCAGGGGAUGGCUUAAGGAGCACAGUAACAUCUGCUUUGGAGGGAACUGGAUUCCUUAGGGCAUCUGUAAUAGUAUUAGAUAGAUUUUUCCCUCCCGCUUUAGAACUUAUUAUUGAGGAGAGUUUUAAUGGUACCCUGAGUACCGGUUUGAGUGGGGAUGCGCCUCCUGUAGGGAUGUGAAUUUGGGAUUGGAAUGUUUUAGUCUGAUCAGGUUUUAAAGAACGUAAUUUAAGCAAUGUGCCUCUUUGCUGACAGUCCCUGAAAUACAGCUGCCUUGCUUGAAUGAAUCCCAUGACGGAAGAACUUUAUCCCCUUGCAAUUCGUGGAAUGGCGCUGCACGGGGAACUGAGGAACUGAAAAGUACUUUCUCACGGCAUAUCUGUGUAAGAGUUUCCAGCUGUCCGGCACGUGAGAGCCAGCUUCGGUCCUCGGGAGAUCGCAAGCUGGGGGGGACACUGUUACGGCAGCUGCUUUUCAUCAUCGAUUGGAGGCUCUUUGCAGCUGGAUGGCCCCAAAUUACAGCUACCAGACCGUGAUCAAAUAGUUAAUAAUGCCUUUUAGCCAAAAAAAUCCAAAACCCACCCGAGUCUAGUUUAGGGACGAGUGGGUGUGGCACAGCUGUCAUGCUGCUUGACGAUUUUUGUGGGGAUGGUAUGUUUCAGUUUAGUGAUUUAGACUUUUUCCUCUGGGCUUCUCCAGAUGUUUAUUUCUGAUAAUUCUUGCGUUAGGCGGAAAUAACUCCUCUGAAUCCAAAGACUCGUAGCCUUGGGAUGAAGUCAUGUGUUCACCAUAGCGAUGUCUGGAGCGGUUUUUGGACUUCAGUGCCCCUGGUCACCGUUUGUUGUGAGGCUGUGCGAGGUGGUGCUCUCAAAGUACGUGACGUCUGCCUUACAUGGGUGCUGUCGUGCCUGAUGGUAGUUAAAUGCCUUUAAUUCCUCGUUUGCUAUUUGUCUAUACUGCCGGAAAGGCUCUUAGGGUAGAUGUAUGUGAGAGGAAUUUAUUUUGAUUGGGGACCUGGGUUCCUCUCCUGCUAGCUGCCGUUACUGUCUCCGUUAUAGAUCCAGUCUUGCCCAAAGAAUGGACGAUGGUUGAGAUGUAAAUGGCUUCACCCCUCGGGGGGAGGAGAGCCCCCCCACUCCCAGCCCCGGGGAUGGGUACGUGGCGCCCUCCACGAAGGCUGGCGCAGGGCUGUCGGCGCCGGUGUGGGAUCUGGAGCGGGCUGUUGGCUCCUGAUGUGUUGCAGAGGUUGAAGAGGUGCCUGCAGCAGUAUCGGAGCCACUGGCAAUAAAUCCAAGCUAAAGUCCCGGAGUUAGGGGGACGGCUGAAAAAUUUC